UAAUUUUUUUACCCUUAUCCAGUAAAUGAUGAAAAACAUGAAGUCAUAAAAUUGUUGUGGACAAUGGGGCACCUUGGAGUCAAGAAGAUUGAAGACCACAGCUCUAAUCUUCAAUAACACACAAAGCUGGUCCAAAUAAUAAUAAUAAUGUCACCACUUUGACAUCAUGUCAAAGCAAUAUCAAUUUAUUUGUCGCAUAAGAGUCACAUUUUAAACACACAUACAUAAACAUUUCAUACAUUUUAGGGGGGUGGGGAUGCCCUUUCUUUCACUAGAGGGGUGUGACAUUUUGUUCAGCCUUGUAUUGCACUCCAGAUAAUGUAGUCAUGGAAAAAAAGAAAAAGAAAAAAAAUGAAGCUCAUGAUUCAAGCAGUCUAGUAGCAGAAGAAAAGAACAGACGUAGACCGCAUUUCCAAAAACUUAUAAAGUCCAAAACCAGGCAAGACCUCGACACAGUUCAGUCUGCACAUCUCUCAAGAGGUCUGACUGGGGGCAACAGAACACACACCUCUAUCGAUUCAGUUCAUCUAAGGAACGAGCAUUAAUGAAUGUAGAUUACACAAACAACUCAUCUUUUACUUUAAAUAAAAAAAAAUCACUUUUCGAAUGGAUUAAACUAAAAAUCAGUUCAUGUAAGUCUAUGGAGUACAUACUUGGUCUGACCCUUAUUAAAUAAGGAAGUCGAAAGGCCAAACAGUGCAGAGGUACACUGGGGAAAACCAUCAUGCCCUUUUUUAAUCCUAUGUGCUGCAGAACAGUCUUACAGUUUUUUAAAGCAUCUAUUUGGCUUCUUGCAAUCUCACUGUAUUUCAAAACAUUCCUUUAUCCAUAACGGCAAAUAAGUAUUGCAUUGCACUUUGGUUCCCUAGUGCAAGGCAAGGACUACAGCCCAACUGGACUGCCCAGCUGUGUUUAUGACAGGAAGAUCUCGUUCCAUAAACUGAUGGCUUGCAAUGUUAUAAGUUUACUUUAAGUCUUGAAUUAGGACAGAAGAGAUCUUGACAUCAAAAGACACAGGAAGAGUUCAGCAUGCAUGCCACUGAUCUCAAUUUCUCUCAUACACACACACACACAAGCAGUGAGGCAGUGCUACUAAGAUGGUUAAAUGUGUAUACAAAAAAUAUAUAUAUA